GAUGAAGAACGUAGCGAAAUGCGAUAAGUAAUGUGAAUUGCAGAGUUCAGUGAAUCAUCGAAUCUUUGAACGCACCUUGCACCCUUUGGCAUUCCGAAGGGUAUGCUCGUUUGAGUGUCAUUGUACUCUCACACUCUCCGAUCCUAUGGAUUCGGGGAGCGGUGGACUUGGGUGUUGCUGCCUUUCCCUGUGGCUCACCUCAAAUGCGUCAGUGCACCUCUUGGUUGGACAUAGUACGGCGUGAUAAGUGUCUUCGCCGGCACCUCGCAAGAGGGUGGCCGAUCGGGAGCUCUGCGCUUUCAAACCGUCUUCGGACAAUUUCUGACAUCUUGACCUCAAAUCGAGUAGGACUACCCGCUGAACUUAAGCAUAUCAAUAAGCGGAGGA
rnacentral:misc_RNA from 1 species